rnacentral:rRNA from 1 species
UUGAACGCUGGCGGCAUGCUUUACACAUGCAAGUCGAACGGUAACAGGCCUUCGGGUGCUGACGAGUGGCGAACGGGUGAGUAAUGCAUCGGAACGUGCCCAAUCGUGGGGGAUAACGUAGCGAAAGUUACGCUAAUACCGCAUACGUCCUGAGGGAGAAAGCGGGGGAUCUUCGGACCUCGCGCGAUUGGAGCGGCCGAUGUCGGAUUAGCUAGUAGGUGAGGUAAAGGCUCACCUAGGCGACGAUCCGUAGCGGGUCUGAGAGGAUGAUCCGCCACACUGGGACUGAGACACGGCCCAGACUCCUACGGGAGGCAGCAGUGGGGAAUUUUGGACAAUGGGCGCAAGCCUGAUCCAGCCAUGCCGCGUGAGUGAAGAAGGCCUUCGGGUUGUAAAGCUCUUUCGGCCGGGAAGAAAUCGUGGUCUCUAACAUAGGCCAUGGAUGACGGUACCGGACUAAGAAGCACCGGCUAACUACGU